rnacentral:rRNA from 1 species
UUUGGUCGCCAACGAGUGGCGGACGGGUGAGUAACACGUAGGUAACCUGCCCAGAAGCGGGGGACAACAUUUGGAAACAGAUGCUAAUACCGCAUAACAGCGUUGUUCGCAUGAACAACGCUUAAAAGAUGGCUUCUCGCUAUCACUUCUGGAUGGACCUGCGGUGCAUUAGCUUGUUGGUGGGGUAACGGCCUACCAAGGCGAUGAUGCAUAGCCGAGUUGAGAGACUGAUCGGCCACAAUGGGACUGAGACACGGCCCAUACUCCUACGGGAGGCAGCAGUAGGGAAUCUUCCACAAUGGGCGCAAGCCUGAUGGAGCAACACCGCGUGAGUGAAGAAGGGUUUCGGCUCGUAAAGCUCUGUUGUUAAAGAAGAACACGUAUGAGAGUAACUGUUCAUACGUUGACGGUAUUUAACCAGAAAGUCACGGCUAACUACGUGCCAGCAGCCGCGGUAAUACGUAGGUGGCAAGCGUUAUCCGGAUUUAUUGGGCGUAAAGAGAGUGCAGGCGGUUUUCUAAGUCUGAUGUGAAAGCCUUCGGCUUAACCGGAGAAGUGCAUCGGAAACUGGAUAACUUGAGUGCAGAAGAGGGUAGUGGAACUCCAUGUGUAGCGGUGGAAUGCGUAGAUAUAUGGAAGAACACCAGUGGCGAAGGCGGCUACCUGGUCUGCAACUGACGCUGAGACUCGAAAGCAUGGGUAGCGAACAGGAUUAGAUACCCUGGUAGUCCAUGCCGUAAACGAUGAGUGCUAGGUGUUGGAGGGUUUCCGCCCUUCAGUGCCGGAGCUAACGCAUUAAGCACUCCGCCUGGGGAGUACGACCGCAAGGUUGAAACUCAAAGGAAUUGACGGGGGCCCGCACAAGCGGUGGAGCAUGUGGUUUAAUUCGAAGCUACGCGAAGAACCUUACCAGGUCUUGACAUCUUGCGCCAACCCUAGAGAUAGGGCGUUUCCUUCGGGAACGCAAUGACAGGUGGUGCAUGGUCGUCGUCAGCUCGUGUCGUGAGAUGUUGGGUUAAGUCCCGCAACGAGCGCAACCCUUGUUACUAGUUGCCAGCAUUAAGUUGGGCACUCUAGUGAGACUGCCGGUGACAAACCGGAGGAAGGUGGGGACGACGUCAGAUCAUCAUGCCCCUUAUGACCUGGGCUACACACGUGCUACAAUGGACGGUACAACGAGUCGCGAACUCGCGAGGGCAAGCAAAUCUCUUAAAACCGUUCUCAGUUCGGACUGCAGGCUGCAACUCGCCUGCACGAAGUCGGAAUCGCUAGUAAUCGCGGAUCAGCAUGCCGCGGUGAAUACGUUCCCGGGCCUUGUACACACCGCCCGUCACACCAUGAGAGUUUGUAACACCCAAAG